GCAUCGGUGGUGUAAUUGGCAACACAGCAGUCCCCAAAACUGCGAGCUUAUGGUUCGAAUCCAUACUGAUGUGCUUUUCA
rnacentral:tRNA from 1 species